GUGUCCAGUCAUGCGUUUAUCCGGGUAGAAUCUAGAUCUAACUAAAUUUGUUUUGUAAGAGAGAAUACAUUUUGAUUGGUCAAAUACGCUUUUGUAAGAGAGAAUACAAUUUGAUUGGUCAAAUACGCUUUCUGCACGAAUAACAAGUUGUUUUUUUUUUUUUUUUUUUUUUUUCUUUUUGGCGCGAAGUAACAUAUUCUUAGACGUAGAUCUAUCAGGUAUACAUUUGUAUUACAAACAAGUGCUCCUCAAAAGGUUGCAAAGUGAAAGAAUUGAUUCCAGUGAAGUAUGAAAUGUGAUAAAGAACUACCAUCUACAUCAUAGAUUUAAGGAUGACCACAAUAUUGUCAGAGUUUUAAAGGCUCAGGAAAACCAAUUCCCAGGUUCUGCUGCCUUAUCCAGCCUUCAGCCUAAAAGUCGGUCUCAAGCUCUGCCUCCAAAACCAAAACCUGGCACUCAGCCUCCACAACAGAGGGCACAAAACAGCUUGGCCAGAGACCCUAGUGAAAGUCAUGACAGACCAUCAACUGGAUCAAAGAGAUUGUGGUGUGUGUGUGUGUGUGCUGUGUUGAGAUACCAUUGCUGAGGAAGAGUUGCAUUCCAAGUUCCACAACUUAGCAUGCACAAAUGGGAGAAGAUGUGUACAAAAUUCUUGUGAGCAUCCGCUGUUGUUGAACAUGUUGGAUAUGCCAUUCCUGGUCCAACAUGGACAAAAAAUGGACACAAAAUUGAUUAAAGGAUGCGUGAUUUCUUUUUACCUACACAGCGGACUGAAGACAAACCUACUCCAUGAACCACUUCCAAUUCUGCUUUCCAAAUAAAAUAUAGAACUAAAUGCAGUUCAUCUAACGGAGUGGAGUCCAGCAAUAAUGUUGUGAUUACCAGCAGUUCUAAUAAGUGAUCUACUCGGCCAGCAACCAGGAGAUAUGAACAUUCAGUUGUAAACCAUUGUGAGUGGUUGUAUGUGGAUUUUUAGAAGAUCUGAACAGCUGGUUAUGAAGCAGUGCAUGUUUUUUUUUAAGUGGACAUCAAUAUUCAGUUAAAACCAGUGUAUGGAUUUUUGAGCAAAUUAAAAUUGUGUAUUAUCAGAAUGAUAUUUCUAAGGUGUUAAGAAAUCACUUACUUUGACAUUCAGAGAACAGAGACUAUAUGAAUAGUGCAAUUUAAAUUAGUAGAUUAUCAAAAUACAUGAGAAAUUGUACCACUUUCUGUUUGUUUUUGAUGACUGGAGUAGAAAACGCAAACAGUAACAGUUGACAGUGAAUUUUUUAUUUAAAAAUCAAAAGGUGUAAACAGAAAAUUUAAAACUAUUAAGAAAGUGGCUUUUUGUGUGAAAGUGGCACAGUCUGACAUUUUACUGUCUAAAGAACAAGAAAUUUACAGUCAAGUACAAAUAUCAACUGAGGGGUGAGUUACACAUACUUUCUAUGCAGGAAAUGCAGAUAAUCUGUAAUUAUUAAAGCUUGUGUUGACAUCAACACAUUACUUAAUUACUACUUAAGUUUGCACAACUUAUUUUUGUGCAUUAAACUGGAAUAACUGCAGUUCCUGUAUAUAUAUAGUGUGUGCUUAUUGUUUUGUUUUUAGGUCAAUGCAUGAUUAUUUUUUAGCUCACCAGUGUAUAAAGUGCUCAA